rnacentral:lncRNA from 1 species
UCCUUAGUAUUCUAAGAGAGCCAUUUUCACCAAUCUUGUAAGGUAGGUUGUUAUUUGUGAAAAAUAUUUGUGCAAACAAGAUUGGGGAGAUGAGAAAAGAAUAUACAAGUUAUUUACAAUUUUGUGUUUGAAUGAAUAAACCCAUUGCCUAUGUACCAUCACAAAGGAGGAUCAAAACCUCGUAGUUCGGGGUAAAAAUCUCAAAAGAAGUUGGUGAAUUGAUUGGUCAAAAG